GGCUACCUGGCGCAAUGGUAGCGCGUUUGGCUUCGAUCGCCAACGGCACCAGUCACACGUGGUCGUGGGAUACCAAACGGUUGCAGGUUCGAGUCCUGCGGUGGUCA
rnacentral:tRNA from 1 species